GAUGAACGCUGGCGGCGUGCCUAAUACAUGCAAGUCGAGCGAACAGACGAGGAGCUUGCUCCUCUGACGUUAGCGGUGGACGGGUGAGUAACACGUGGAUAACCUACCUAUAAGACUGGGAUAACUUCGGGAAACCGGAGCUAAUACCGGAUAAUAUAUUGAACCGCAUGGUUCAAUAGUGAAAGACGGUUUUGCUGUCACUUAUAGAUGGAUCCGCGCCGCAUUAGCUAGUUGGUAAGGUAACGGCUUACCAAGGCAACGAUGCGUAGCCGACCUGAGAGGGUGAUCGGCCACACUGGAACUGAGACACGGUCCAGACUCCUACGGGAGGCAGCAGUAGGGAAUCUUCCGAAAUGGGCGAAAGCCUGACGGAGCAACGCCGCGUGAGUGAUGAAGGUCUUCGGAUCGUAAAACUCUGUUAUUAGGGAAGAACAAAUGUGUAAGUAACUAUGCACGUCUUGACGGUACCUAAUCAGAAAGCCACGGCUAACUACGUG
rnacentral:rRNA from 1 species